GAACAUUCAGUCCUGAGUACAGUGGCGCACGGGUGAGUAACACGUGACUAACCUACCCUGGAGUGGGGAAUAACUGAGGGAAACCUUAGCUAAUACCGCAUAACACCUACGGGUCAAAGGAGCAAUUCGCUUCAGGAGGGGGUCGCGGCCGAUUAGUUAGUUGGCGGGGUAAUGGCCCACCAAGACAGUGAUCGGUAUCCGGCCUGAGAGGGCGCACGGACACACUGGAACUGAAACACGGUCCAGACUCCUACGGGAGGCAGCAGUGGGGAAUUUUGCGCAAUGGGGGAAACCCUGACGCAGCAACGCCGCGUGGAGGAUGAAAUCCCUUGGGAUGUAAACUCCUUUCGAUCGGGACGAUUAUGACGGUACCGGAAGAAGAAGCCCCGGCUAACUUCGUGCCAGCAGCCGCGGUAAUACGAGGGGGGCAAGCGUUGUUCGGAAUUAUUGGGCGUAAAGGGAGUGUAGGCGGUUUGGUAAGUUGUGUGUGAAAUCUUCGGGCUCAACCCGAAGUCUGCACACAAAACUGCCGGGCUUGAGGGUGGGAGAGGUGAGUGGAAUUUCCGGUGUAGCGGUGAAAUGCGUAGAUAUCGGAAGGAACACCUGUGGCGAAAGCGGCUCACUGGACCAUUUCUGACGCUGAAACUCGAAAGCUAGGGGAGCAAACAGGAUUAGAUACCCUGGUAGUCCUAGCCCUAAACGAUGACUGUUUGGUGUGGCGGGUACCCAAUCCCGCCGUGCCGUAGCUAACGCGUUAAACAGUCCGCCUGGGGGAGUACGGUCGCAAGGCUGAAACUCAAAGGAAAUUGACGGGGGCCCGCACAAGCGGUGGAGCAUGUGGUUUAAUUCGACGCAAC
rnacentral:rRNA from 1 species